rnacentral:lncRNA from 1 species
UCGCCCUUAAACUCUAUCAACACCCUCUCCAUAUCUUUCAAACCCUAGCGCAGUCGCCCUCUCAAAUCUCUCCUACUCCAGCUCAAACAUGGAAUCAAUCCAUGAUUUACGUACAUAUUUUGUGUUGCUCUAUUAUUAUACACUCGUCUAUGGUAUUACUUAGAUUCUAGAUCUGUUUUUGGCAAGAACUUCCUCAAUAACGGGUAGAUUCACUCUGAUUUUAUGAAGAUCUAGACGAUCUUCCAUCAAUAUACAUGUUUUAUUGAACAAUUCUUGCAUUUUUUGUCCGAUUUAAAGCAUCUGUCUCAACUAGGGUUUGAGACAUUUCCUUGUUCUUUAUCGAUUUCUGAUUGAUACUCUUUCCUUUCUCGUAUUUGACUAAUAUUUUUCUUAUUUUUGUUUAAUCUAACGUGUUUCAUUUCUUUUUUUAACCUUAUUUUGCCCUAAAUAAGGAUUUUAGAUCUUUUUCUAGUUCGACUCCGUGUUUCCUUUUGAAUAAUUUUCCAUCUAUGUUCGUUUUAUGCAAAUAUGUAGUUAUUUGCUUUAUUUUUUGCUGACUUUUUUGUUUACCUAAAUUUAAGGUUUCAAUCCCUUUUACUUGAACCAAAUUGGUUCAUUCUUACUCUUCUUUUGAAUAAUGCAUAUUUGUGUUCAUUUUUUGUGCUAGUACUUGAUUCUUUG